UACGAGGGGGCAAAUGUUGUUCGGAAUCACUGGGCGUAAAGGGAGCGUAGGCGGGUUCUUAAGUAAGGUGUUUAAUCCCGGGGCCCAACCCCGGACCGGCACUUUAAACUGGGAAUCUUGAAUAGUGGAGAGGUCAGUGGAAUUGGGGGUGUAGCGGUGGAAUGCGUAGAGAUCCCCAAGAACACCAGUUGCGAAGGCGGCUGACUGGACACAUAUUGACGCUGAGGCUCGAAAGCAUGGGGAGCAAACAGG
rnacentral:rRNA from 1 species